rnacentral:rRNA from 1 species
AUUGAACGCUGGCGGCAGGCCUAACACAUGCAAGUCGAUCGACCGGCGGACGGGUGAGUAAUGUAUGGGGACUGCCCGCUAGAGUUGGAUAACUACUUGCAACUGUGGCUAAUACCGCAUACUUUCGCAUCACCCAUAUGUGAUUAGCUCGUAGGUAAGGUAAUGGCUUACCUAGGCGACGAUCCCUAGCUGGUCUGAGAGGAUGAUCAGCCACACUGGGACUUAGACACGGCCCAGACUCCUACGGAGGCAGCAGUAGGGAAUAUUGCACAAUGGGCGAAAGCCUGAUGCAGCCAUGGCGCGUGUAUGAAGAAGGCCCUAGGGUUGUAAAGUACUUUCAGUCGGGAGGCGUUACCGACAGAAGAAGCACCGGCUAACUCCGUGCCAGCAGCCGCGGUAAUUC